rnacentral:rRNA from 1 species
GACGAACGCUGGCGGCGUGCUUAACACAUGCAAGUCGAACGGAAAGGCCCUGCCUUGCUGGGGUGCUCGAGUGGCGAACGGGUGAGUAACACGUGGGUAACCUGCCUUGGACUUUGGGAUAACUUCAGGAAACUGGGGCUAAUACCGGAUAUGAGCUGCUGCUGCAGGGGGGGGUGGGGAAAUUUUCGGCGGUUGGGGUUGGUCGCGCGGCUUAUGGGCUUGUGGGUGGGGUAGUGGCUUACCAAGGCUGUGACGGCUAGCGGGCGUGAGAGGGUGACCGGCAACAUUGGGACGGGGAUAGGGCCCAGAUCCCUCCGGGAGGAAGCAGUGGGGAAUAUUGCACAUUGGGCGGAAGCCUGAUGCAGCACGGCCGCGUGCGGGAUGCCGGCCUUCGGGUUGUAAACCGUUUUCGCCUGUGACGAAGCGUGAGUGACGGUACCGGGUAAAGAAGCACCGGCUAACUACGUG